AAGUCGUAACAAGGUUUCCGUAGGUGAACCUGCGGAAGGAUCAUUAACACGUAUCCAACGUUAAACCCCCCUGUGAACCUUCAUUGUGCUCCCCCAUUCCGUUAGGACGCGGCAAUCCCUGGUAAAUCAUCGCCGAACAGUUUUGAUUCAGGGACCUCUGCAUGGAGUGGGCUUGCAGUAACGAUCGCUAGAGGCCGACACGGCCGGCGACCGGGUCACUGGGCUCACGCCCCCCUAUCACCUUUGCAUGAAAACGGGCCUGCGCUUAAUUGUGCGGCCACCAAACUCGAACAACUGUUAACAAUGGAUAUCUUGGUUCUC
rnacentral:misc_RNA from 1 species